AGCAAGUAUAUAAAGAAACUAUUAGGAAUACCUUGCUAUAUAUUAAAGAGAGUAAUAUUUUAAAUUGUGUAUUUUACCAAAAAAAACACAUGAACUCUUAGAUAAAUUCAGUAAUAAACGAAGUGAAUUGAAACAUCUUAGUAGCUUUAGGAAAAGAAAUCAAACGAGAUUCUACAAUUAGUGUGAAUUAAAGUAGAAGAGCCUAGAGUAUUAAAAGAAGAUAAGGGAUAACUAAAUCUCUAUUAAUACUUUAAAUAAGUAGAACGGGCUAUAAACCUGUUUGAAUGUUAAGGGGAACCUUCCUCUAAGGCUAAAUAUAAUAUAUAAGCGACAGCGUAUAGUUCUGUGAAGGAAAGGUUUGAAUUAGUAGUUUUAUAAGCAGCUCAAGCAAAGUUUAAAUACAUAGUGAGAGCGUACCUUUUGCAUAAUGGGUCAGUAAGUUAAUGUUAGAUGCGAGCAGCAAUGCCUAGAUAAACCAAUUAUGAAAUAAUGAAUUAGUAUCUAAAAUUAGACCCGAAGCCUGGUGAUCUUACCAUAGUCAGGGUUAUAAAAGCCCGAACGGGUUAUCGUUGUAAAGAUAUCCGAUGAACUGUGGUAAGUUAGUGAAAGACAAAACUGACCAGGAUAGCUGGUUUUCUGCGAAACCUAUAGAAGUAGGUAAUUUAAGUUACAUCAUAGCAGGUACAGAACUGUGAUCUCAGGCAACUUUAAUAGAUAACAUAUUUAUAUGUGUUAUUUAUUUUUUUUGUACAUAUCGGGGGAUCGUGAAGAUUUUAUCGGUGAGUAUUCGCACUCGGAAGGGCAAUGAUGAAUAUUAAAUAAUCAGACAUAGUACGCUAAGGUUGUAUGUCUAAAGGGAAACAGCCCAGAACAAGAGUUAAGGUUCCAAAAUUAAUAUUAAGUGAAAUUAAGGAAGUUUCUAUCUAAUACGACUAGGAAAUAGGCUUAGAAGCGGCCAUUUUUUGAAGACCUCGUAACAGAGCACUGGUUCAGUAAAUAGUUUACUAUUUACAUCGAUAGUGGCACCGAAAAUUUAACGGAUCUAAAUAAUAUACCGACACCUUGUCCAUAUUAAAACAUAUUACAUAAUAUUAUAUAAUAUGGGGUAGCGGAACGUUGGGUAAAUUUUAGACUAUUUCUUAAAAAGAUUUAGAAAUAAAUGACCCAAGUGACAAUGCUGACAUGAGUAACGAAAAAGGGGGUAUACCCCCCUCGCCUAAAGCUUAUGGAUUUUUUAAAGUAACGGCCUCUAAGUUUAUAAACCUAAAGG
rfam:Pseudogymnoascus pannorum VKM F-4515 (FW-2607) contig_2276, whole genome shotgun sequence.